GUUGUUUUCAUUAGGUAAUCGCCAGAUUUAGGUUCUGGCGCCGCAAGGCGUGGGGGUUCAAGUCCCUCCACCCGCACCA
rnacentral:tRNA from 1 species